AGAGACGCUCCUCUUCCUCACUGCUCUCUCCCUCCAUCUUCCUCCUACUCCUCCUCCUCCUAUUCCACUUUGCUGGCUCUCCUCUUCCUCCUCCUCCUCAGACAGACGGACUGGUCCAACUCCUCACCUUCAUCGCUUCAACCAUCAUCAUCUUCAGAGGAAGAAGACAGGGAGCCCCCUGACCCUCGCCAUGGCAACGGUCAUCAGCACGCGGUUCUCUGAUGAGUACCAGCUUUACGAGGAGCUGGGGAAGGGAGCGUUUUCAGUGGUGCGUCGCUGUGUGAAGGUUCUGUCGGGUCAGGAGUACGCCGCCAAGAUCAUCAACACCAAGAAACUGUCUGCUCGAGAUCAUCAGAAGUUGGAUCGAGAAGCUCGAAUCUGUCGUUUACUGAAACACCCCAACAUCG